CCUGCCGCUAGAAGCACUGCAGGGGUGGCUGCUGUGUCACAUGUGCAUCAGUAGGUGACAGGGAGGAGUGAGGCUCUGUUUAUGCUCAGCAUUCUGACCUAUGAACAUCUGAGCGAUUAGCAGCCUAACAUG
ensembl:snoRNA